GACAAGACUCAACCGGGCGGAAGUGACACGCAUCGAGGGCGCCCCGCUUCCGGAAUGCCUAUUGUUCUGUUACCUAUUAUUGGUUCUGCUCAGACUGGCGAUUGGCUAAUGGCGCCGUCAAUCUCCAGAGGAAAGGACUAAGUUUCAGACACCUCGGAAAAAUUACUGAGCCCCUUUUUGCUGAAAUGAAAAGUUCUGGAGAAAACCCAAGAGAUUCGGGAAAUGGUGCCAGGUCAACUCAAGACACCCCUAUUCCACCCACACUUCAGAGUGCUGGAGAAGAUAUUGAGAAGACAGAAGACCUUUAUAGAACCUUUUAAUUCUUACCAUGUAGGUAACCAGAUUCUCCAGCUAUUGGUGAGAUCUGUCUUUCCCAAGAGCUCCAGUCAUCUGACACCUUCCCAAUAGCCUGUCCUGAUUCAAAGAGGUGGCUUCACCGUAGAGAAAAUGGAAUAGAUGAAAGGGAAGAUGGCCAAGACCUCUUUCAUUGACCGCAUUUCCAGUUUCUGAUCAUCUACUACAUGUUCACAAGCUACCAGCCCACAAUCGUAAUCAAGAGAAAAAAAGAAUAACCCUGGAAAAAUAAGUUUGGCCCUCAGUACUAAAUGGCAGAACGUUUGCUGGGCUAUAAGAAUAUUUUUUUGUGGGGGAAGCUUCCUUGGUCGCUCACGUGGUAAAGAAUCUGCCUGCAAUGCAGAACAGGGUUUGAUCCCUGGGUCUGGAAGAUCCCUUGGAGAAGGGAAUGGCUACCCACUC